rnacentral:lncRNA from 1 species
UCUAAUGAGAAGAGCAUGACCCCCAGAUCUGAAAUAAGACUGGGGUGUUCAGUGGAGGCAGGUUUAUUUGCUGAAAUCUGACAGCCCAAAGGCAGUGAUUUCAGACUGGAAAAUGGAAAAUGGAGCAGAGCUACAUGGAUGCUAGGAAAAGCAGGUGGAAUGGGAAAGUUUCUGGGUACAUAAGAGUCAUUUGUAGCCAGGAAGUGGGAUGAUUCACAUCUCUAUAGAAAGCUAAAUGUGACCACAUUACCUUGCAGGGAUUUUCAGUUAGACAUACCAAAUCUAGGUAAUGGUGGGUGAGAGACAACAGAAUGAGUCACUGAAAAGGAUUACUGUGAGAAAAGGCAUAGAGGAGAUAGGUGAUCCUGCCAGGUGACCCAGCAGAACUGACUUGUGGAGAUGAACAGGGUGACAGCACAGUUAUUCAGCAAUCCACCUCAGGCACCAAAGGGAGAAAACAUACGAAGACAACCUGUAAACCCAGAUCCAGGGAGAGUGGCAAGGUGCCCAAAACAACUACAAGGGUAAAAAGACAUCUUCGAAAGAAUUUGACAGGAAAAGCUUCUCCAAAACCUUCCACCUCUUCAAGAAAACUCAAGAAAAGUAAAAGAACAACACUGUUUGGACACUACCACAGGCUGAAAAAAGCGCUAAAGCACAAUGAGUCAGAGAGACGCCAAGAAAGGGGAGAAAAACCCACCACUUCACGUGCUUAUCUGGGCAGCCAAUAACUCCAGAGCAAGGCCAGGGAUCUCAGACCUCCCUGCCAAGUCUCUGACGUUUGGCCCUUGAAAAUUGGCCAACUGUCUAGACAUCGAGUAUUACACCGAUGGGAUAAAACAUUCGUGAAAAUCAAAAUAAAAUCAGCCUGUUACAAAAAUGUACGUGUCUC